rnacentral:rRNA from 1 species
AUACGGAGGAUCCGAGCGUUAUCCGGAUUUAUUGGGUUUAAAGGGUGCGCAGGCGGCCAUUUAAGUCAGCGGUUAAAUCGUGGGGCUCAACCCCAUUCUGCCGUUGAUACUGGGGGGCUUGAUUGCGGUCGAGGUUGGCGGAAUUCGUUGUGUAGCGGUGAAAUGCAUAGAUAUGACGAAGAACACCGAUUGCGUAGGCAGCUGACCAGAUCGCAAAUGACGCUCAUGCACGAAAGUGCGGGGAUCGAACAGGAUUAGAUACCCUGGUAGUCCGCACAGUAAACGAUGAAUACUUGUUUUCGGCGAUAUAAUGUCGGAGGCAAAGCGAAAGCGAUAAGUAUUCCACCUGGGGAGUACGCCGGCAACGGUGAAACUCAAAGGAAUUGACGGGG